rnacentral:rRNA from 1 species
UGGCGGCCGUAGCGCGGUGGUCCCACCUGACCCCAUGCCGAACUCAGAAGUGAAACGCCGUAGCGCCGAUGGUAGUGUGGAACUGCCAGGCAUCAAAUA